rnacentral:sRNA from 1 species
ACCGGCACGGACGGCGGUGGUUCUAAACAGAAUUGAGUUUGAAAACUACCACAGCUAUAUAAACAGGAGUUUUCAAACUCAUAGGUUUGGGUUUGACAAGGACGUCAAAACCAAACCGUUG